AAUACGGAAGAAGUCCGCAACAUUUAAUUUUAAAUACGAGACGAUGUCGUGUUUUAAGGGACGGGUGGCCAAUCCUACUCGACACCCAGCGUGACCACACACACCGAGACUUCCGUAUUCUACUUUUCAUAUCGGGACACCUGGAGAGGACGAAAUCUACCUUUCAUCACCAGAGGUUGAUAACGUCAGGCUUCAGAGAGGCCACGCUGACACGGGACAGAACAUGAACAGACCUUAAUGGAUUUCCUCCAAAGACCACAGCACUGUAACAGUGGAAGCUAUCGUAAGAGUUCUAAAAGGAGGAUAUGAAGGUGUCCUGCCGUAAAUCCUGCCAUAAAGAGAAAGGAUGGGAUACGGAUUUAUCCAGCUAAGAGCCUGCACCGGUGGAUCCGGUCUACAAGAAGCAAGAUAGUGAGAGGAGGUGACAAGACUGGACGGCGACUGUGCGACGAGGAUCCACCUUGAUAAAAGGAAAAGAGGUAUGGAAGGGAUGCAAAAUGGAAAUGGGUUGAACCAAAAUCUAUACCAAAACACAUGAAAGCCCUCCAGUUUGAGGCAAACACACACACACGAUUCCAGUCUGGACGCCAUGAAAAUCUUCAGUAAAGCUUAUGACUAGACAAAAACACACCACGCGACUGCUGGCUCACGUCAACGGGCCUCUUUGAUUAAAAUGGUCCCUGGAAGAAAUUUCAGGAGCUAAAUAACGAGCUAAAAUUAUAUUUCUGCAGAUGUAUGCUUUUCAAAUCCCAUGACAUUACUAGAUCCACAACGAUUAGACAGAUUAAAAAAGCAUCAGUCUAGAUUGAGAUGUAAUAUUUGC